rnacentral:rRNA from 1 species
UACGUAGGGUGCGAGCGUUAAUCGGAAUUACUGGGCGUAAAGCGUGCGCAGGCGGUUUUGUAAGCCAGAUGUGAAAUCCCCGGGCUUAACCUGGGAACUGCAUUUGGGACUGCAAGGCUUGAGUGCGGCAGAGGGAGGUGGAAUUCCACGUGUAGCAGUGAAAUGCGUAGAUAUGUGGAGGAACACCGAUGGCGAAGGCAGCCUCCUGGGCCAGCACUGACGCUCAUGCACGAAAGCGUGGGGAGCAAACAGG